rnacentral:lncRNA from 1 species
CCGCCCGCCAGGGUGUGGAGCCGCACUGGGGCAAGAUCAGGUGGGACAGCCCAAAGACUCCGGGCCAAGUUCCUGGGGGACUCGGCGGAGAUGGAAGAUGAUUCUCGAAGCUCUCCAUUUCCUUAAUUUUGAGUUAUCUUCAGUCCUUCUUCAGUGCUGUGACUGAGUGCUUGCUGAUUAUUGUGCUUGCUGAUCCUGACUAAUACUCUCUCUUGAUGAGCUUCAUAUUCAUCACGACUUGGAUAAAUUUUGCUGAUGAGUGCAUCAAACUUUGGGUCUGGCCUUGGUGAUCUUUUGGAAACCAGUUUUUUCCAACAGUUGGUUGGAUCUAGGAUGUAAACUGCAAGUGUGGCAGGCCGACUGCACUGUUUUGUUACUAGAGGGAGUGAGAACACACCUGUGGACUUGAGCACCUUCCAUUCACCAGUUGCUCCAUGGGCAUACUCUAAUUCAGGUCUCCCCACAACCCUCUGAGUUAAUAUUUCUCUCCCCAUUUUAAAGAUGAGAAAAUAAAGCCUAGACAGUUUAACUUGGCUUCUGUUUUGAAACUAGCAGAGAGAUGAAUUAGGCUUUGUAUCCAUGUCUAUCAGCUUCAACCUUCAUGCUUUUUCUUCUGUACCCCAGUGCCUGUUAAAUUUUGGAAAUCCCAGAAACAGCCCAAAAACUUGGGUUAAUCUCCUUAGAGAUUUUGACAAUGUCCUUUGAGAACCACUGCACUACAGAAACACAAAACCCUUUGCAUAUUGUCAUUGAAUAAAUUGUACCAUUGAGACCUGAACCAAGAGUUUUAGAUAUGUAAGUUAGAAACAGUAGAGACUAGGUGUAGUCGGUGCUAAAGUAAUUGUGGUUUUUGACAUUGAAA